GGAUCCAGACUUUGAUUAUGGCUCAGAUUGAACGCUGGCGGCAUGCCUUACACAUGCAAGUCGAACGGUAACGCGGAGCAAUCUGGCGACGAGUGGCGAACGGGUGAGUAAUAUAUCGGAAUGUACCCUAGAGUGGGGGAUAACGUAGCGAAAGUUACGCUAAUACCGCAUACGAUCUACGGAUGAAAGUGGGGGACUCGCAAGAGCCUCAUGCUCAUGGAGCAGCCGAUAUCUGAUUAGCUAGUUGGUAGGGUAAAAGCCUACCAAGGCGACGAUCAGUAGCUGGUUUGAGAGAACGACCAGCCACACUGGAACUGAGACACGGUCCAGACUCCUACGGGAGGCAGCAGUGGGGAAUUUUGGACAAUGGGGGCAACCCUGAUCCAGCAAUGCCGCGUGAGUGAAGAAGGCCUUCGGGUUGUAAAGCUCUUUUGUCAGGGAAGAAACGGUGUUGUCUAAUACACGAUACUAAUGACGGUACCUGAAGAAUAAGCACCGGCUAACUACGUGCCAGCAGCCGCGGUAAUACGUAGGGUGCAAGCGUUAAUCGGAAUUACUGGGCGUAAAGCGUGCGCAGGCGGUUAUAUAAGUCAGAUGUGAAAUCCCUGGGCUCAACCUAGGAACUGCAUUUGAGACUGUAUGGCUAGAGUGUGUCAGAGGGGGGUAGAAUUCCACGUGUAGCAGUGAAAUGCGUAGAUAUGUGGAGGAAUACCGAUGGCGAAGGCAGCCCCCUGGGAUAACACUGACGCUCAUGCACGAAAGCGUGGGGAGCAAACAGGAUUAGAUACCCUGGUAGUCCACGCCCUAAACGAUGUCUACUAGUUGUUGGGUCUUAAUUGACUUAGUAACGCAGCUAACGCGUGAAGUAGACCGCCUGGGGAGUACGGUCGCAAGAUUAAAACUCAAAGGAAUUGACGGGGACCCGCACAAGCGGUGGAUGAUGUGGAUUAAUUCGAUGCAACGCGAAAAACCUUACCUACCCUUGACAUGGCAGAAAUUCCGAAGAGAUUUGGAAGUGCUCGCAAGAGAAUCUGUACACAGGUGCUGCAUGGCUGUCGUCAGCUCGUGUCGUGAGAUGUUGGGUUAAGUCCCGCAACGAGCGCAACCC
rnacentral:rRNA from 1 species